UACGGGGGGGGCAAGCGUUGUUCGGAAUUACUGGGCGUAAAGGGCUCGUAGGCGGCCAAGUAAGUCAGACGUGAAAUCCCUCAGCUUAACUGGGGAACUGCGUGUGAUACUGGAUGGCUUGGAUUUGGGAGAGGGAUGCGGAAUUCCAGAUGUAGCGGUGAAAUGCGUAGAUAUCUGGAGGAACACCGGUGGCGAAGGCGGCAUCCUGGACCAAUAUUGACGCUGAGGAGCGAAAGCCAGGGGAGCAAACGGG
rnacentral:rRNA from 1 species